rnacentral:lncRNA from 1 species
GAUCUCUUUACCCACUGCAAACCCAUGAGAAAAUCUGCCCACUACAGUCUCUUUUUACUUUGACCCUUGUGUGUUAAUUUAAUUACUUUUAAUUAAAGUAUUUUAAUUUUCAAAGGGCUUUUAGGAGAGCAGUACUACCAGUGACCUAUGGGAACAAGAAGACUAUCUGGAGGUAUUUAUCAGUCCAAGGUGCCUACCUUCCAAGCCCAGUGGUUUGGUGUGCAGAAAUGCUGAGCUCCCAGUCUCAGCUGAGACAGGCAGAGAGAUGCUUCAGUGAUUCACACCCUCGUGUCGUGCAGUAAGUGCUCUGAGAAAUCAAGCCCCGGUGGGUUCAGGCUUGGCAGCUGCAGUGCUGACUUAGAUG